rnacentral:tRNA from 2 species
GGGGUCAUAGCUCAGCUGGCUAGAGCGCCUGCCUUGCACGCAGGAGGUCGAGGGUUCGACUCCCUCUGACUCCACCA